UUUGAUCCUGGCUCAGGAUGAACGCUGGCGGUAUGCUUAACACAUGCAAGUCGAACGGAUGUUUUCGGACAAUCUAGCUUCAGGUUGGGGACAACAGUUGGAAACGACUGCUAAUACCGAAUGUGCCGAGAGGUGAAAGAUUUAUUGCCUGAAGAAGAGCUCGCGUCUGAUUAGCUAGUUGGUGGGGUAAGAGCUUACCAAGGCGACGAUCGGUAGCUGGUCUGAGAGGACGAUCAGCCACACUGGGACUGAGACACGGCCCAGACUCCUACGGGAGGCAGCAGUGGGGAAUUUUCCGCAAUGGGCGAAAGCCUGACGGAGCAAUACCGCGUGAGGGAAGAAGGCUCUUGGGUUGUAAACCUCUUUUCUGAGGGAAGAAAAAAAUGACGGUACCUCAGGAAUCAGCAUCGGCUAACUCCGUGCCAGCAGCCGCGGUAAUACGGAGGAUGCAAGCGUUAUCCGGAAUGAUUGGGCGUAAAGCGUCCGCAGGUGGCAUAUCAAGUCUGCGGUUAAAGGUUCUGGCUCAACCAGAGACAGGCCGUGGAAACUGAUAAGCUAGAGUAUGGUAGGGGCAGAGGGAAUUCCCAGUGUAGCGGUGAAAUGCGUAGAGAUUGGGAAGAACACCGGUGGCGAAAGCGCUCUGCUAGGCCAAAACUGACACUGAGGGACGAAAGCUAGGGGAGCGAAUGGGAUUAGAUACCCCAGUAGUCCUAGCCGUAAACGAUGGAUACUAG
rnacentral:rRNA from 1 species